GUCUAGAGCCAUACCACCCUGAACGCGCCUGAUCUCAUCUGAUCUCAGAAGCUAAGCAGGGUCAGGCCUGGUUAGUACUUGGAUGGAAGACCGCCUGGGAAUACUGGGUGCUGUAGGCU